UCGUAUCCCCUUUUUCCUCCUAAUCAAAAUCCCUAAUUUUUAAGAAGCGAAUAACAAAGAAGGGCAAGAAGCCACCCGCUUUUCCUUGUUAAAAUCACGCACACAAGAACAUAGUAAUUAUCCGUAUGCUUUUUUGUUGAUGAUAGUUCAUGGGUUUCAGGUCACCGGCGGAUUUCUUGGCCACAGCUGAGGAUUUGAAGUUUCUAUUGUCUUCAAAUUAACAGAGUCUGCAACAGAGUGAAAGCUACUUUCUGGUUCGCCGGCGAAUUUCUUGGCCACAGCAGAGGCUUUCACGUUUCUGUUGUCUUCAAUUAAACAAGGUCUGCACCAUGGCGAAAUAUACUCUGUGGUCACACUUACUCAAUAUUGACACCGAUUGAAUAUUGAUAAUUGCUCGGUUUACACUUAGAUGACAGCCUAGACGGAUUUAGAGCGUUGCAAAGCUUGGUAAUACAAUGGAAGAGAAAAUCUGGAGUGGAUAAAGACAUGAAAAUGUUUAGAUCAACGUCUCCUACAUUUUCCAUGGAUUAUUUAAAUCAAAGUUCUUGCGGUGAACUCUUAGACUUCUUUUUAUACUUGUGAAGUUAUAGUAGAAGAUACACAAUAUUUUAUAUUGUUUGGUAUAUGUUAGCAAUUUACAUUAAUGUGGCGUAAGGCCAUUUGACAGUUUGGAUAUCUUUAUGUUCAAUUUGUGUAUUUUUUUAAUGGAUUGUUCAUUAAUUUUUA